rnacentral:rRNA from 1 species
AGUGAACGCUGGCGGUAGGCCUAACACAUGCAAGUCGAACGGCAGCACAGUAAGAGCUUGCUCUUACGGGUGGCGAGUGGCGGACGGGUGAGGAAUACAUCGGAAUCUACUUUUUCGUGGGGGAUAACGUAGGGAAACUUACGCUAAUACCGCAUACGACCUACGGGUGAAAGCAGGGGAUCUUCGGACCUUGCGCGAUUGAAUGAGCCGAUGUCGGAUUAGCUAGUUGGCGGGGUAAAGGCCCACCAAGGCGACGAUCCGUAGCUGGUCUGAGAGGAUGAUCAGCCACACGGGAACUGAGACACGGUCCAGACUACUACGAGAGGGAGCAGUGGGGAAUAUUGGACAAUGGGCGCAAGCCUGAUCCAGCCAUAGCGCGUGGGUGAAGAAGGCCUUCGGGUUGUAAAGCCCUUUUGUUGGGAAAGAAAAGCAGCAGGUUAAUACCCCGCUGUUCUGACGGUACCCAAAGAAUAAGCACCGGCUAACUUCGUG